rnacentral:rRNA from 1 species
UACAGAGGUCUCAAGCGUUGUUCGGAUUCAUUGGGCGUAAAGGGUGCGUAGGUGGCGCUGUAAGUCGGGUGUGAAAUUUCGGAGCUUAACUCCGGAACUGCAUUCGAUACUGCGGUGCUUGAGGACUGGAGAGGAGACUGGAAUUCAUGGUGUAGCAGUGAAAUGCGUAGAGAUCAUGAGGAAGACCAGUGGCGAAGGCGGGUCUCUGGACAGUUCCUGACACUGAGGCACGAAGGCCAGGGGAGCAAACGGG